rnacentral:sRNA from 1 species
CUCCAAAGUAAAUUGAAAGAAAAAGAGCAUGAGGUGAAACAGGACCAGCAGUGAAACAAAGAGCUUGAUGACAAAGUCAAGAAUCUACUCCAGGAGAAAGUAUUGAAGCUCAGCUUCAAAAAAUACUUGAUAAUCAUUACACAGAGAAGUCAGAGUUGAGUUCUAAGAUUAAAAGUCUUCAAGAAGAGAAAAAAA